rnacentral:rRNA from 1 species
AUUGAACGCUGGCGGCAGGCCUAACACAUGCAAGUCGAGCGGAAACGAGUUAUCUGAACCUUUCGGGGAAUGAUAACGGCGUCGAGCGGCGGACGGGUGAGUAAUGCCUAGGAAAUUGCCCUGAUGUGGGGGAUAACCAUUGGAAACGAUGGCUAAUACCGCAUGAUGCCUACGGGCCAAAGAGGGGGACCUUCGGGCCUCUCGCGUCAGGAUAUGCCUAGGUGGGAUUAGCUAGUUGGUGAGGUAAGGGCUCACCAAGGCAACGAUCCCUAGCUGGUCUGAGAGGAUGAUCAGCCACACUGGAACUGAGACACGGUCCAGACUCCUACGGGAGGCAGCAGUGGGGAAUAUUGCACAAUGGGCGCAAGCCUGAUGCAGCCAUGCCGCGUGUAUGAAGAAGGCCUUCGGGUUGUAAAGUACUUUCAGCAGUGAGGAAGGCGGGUACGUUAAUAGCGUGCUCGUUUGACGUUAGCUGCAGAAGAAGCACCGGCUAACUCCGUGCCAGCAGCCGCGGUAAUACGGAGGGUGCGAGCGUUAAUCGGAAUUACUGGGCGUAAAGCGCAUGCAGGUGGUUUGUUAAGUCAGAUGUGAAAGCCCGGGGCUCAACCUCGGAAUAGCAUUUGAAACUGGCAGACUAGAGUACUGUAGAGGGGGGUAGAAUUUCAGGUGUAGCGGUGAAAUGCGUAGAGAUCUGAAGGAAUACCGGUGGCGAAGGCGGCCCCCUGGACAGAUACUGACACUCAGAUGCGAAAGCGUGGGGAGCAAACAGG